UCCCACAUGGUCUACUAGUGGCUAGGAUAUCUGGCAUUCACCCAGGAGGCUCGGGUUCGAUUCCCGGUAUGGGAA
rnacentral:tRNA from 1 species